ACCUCCGCUCCGCAUCCUCUCAGGCCUCCGCCUUCUCAGCUCUACUAGGUUGGGGAGGGAGCUUGCUGUAGAUGCUGGGCAGGUGAUGGCGAGCACCUCACUUUGGGGAUAGGUUGAAACUCUCCCUGCAGACUAUUCUUUGCGUGCAUCAGAGGCAGGGUUCGCUUAUUUACUUUGAUGGGACAGACAAGAGAAUAGAAAAUACCUUUGCUCCCUCAGACAUCUUCAAGCUAUCUUAUUAAGGGGAUUUAUUUUUCCGCUUGUGGAAAGCGCUGUCUAGCGGCCCUACACCCUGGAUUUGCUUUAGCUCUUCCUACCAGUUAUGCACACCCUUCCCUCCAGUCUCUAAAGGCAUAACUGGGUCUUUCCCGAAUAAGGCUUCAGAGCCCCCAAGGCCCUAUAGUGUAUCUUUAUAUUUUCCCUUUGUUUGCUUAGCUUAACAGUUUUUGAGGUGCCAAAAGAGCCUAAGAAACAACUACGUAAAGGACAUGCUGUGUAAAAUGCGCAAAGACGUUGAACUUGGUCAAACUCAUACACUGAACACCAUUUAACAUAAUGCUAUCCCUUAUCCAUCAAGGCCAAUAGCUGGAAAUUUUUUUAUGCUUCCACCAAAUAUAAGACAACUAAAAAACUUUUUUUUUCCUUCUUAAAAAACGGGAUCUCCUUUUGUUGCCUACACUGUUAACCAACCCUUGAAUCCCAACGAUUCUUUGGCCUCAGCCUCUGGAAUAGCUGAGACUACAGGACUUCUCCACACAGAAGAUAUUUUUUACAGGAUCAACUGAGAUGUAUGCCCAAGAAGCAUGGCAGUCUGUGCCUCAAUCUGGAUCUGCUGCAAACACUUUUCUUGUCACUUGGUGUGGUUCAGAGAAGUAUUCUCAGCUGUGGAAAAUGCUGCUUCAAGAUCUGAAGAAAACUACCAGAUCUUGUGUUUACUUUUGCACAAUGGAAAAUAAACAUUAUAUCAAUUCUGCCUUUAUUUCAGAAGGAUAUUCUAGCAGGCCCCAAACCACUAGAGACCUAAAUCUGAAACUAAAAUGAUGAGCCUUUGAAUCUUCAUAGGAUUUAUUCUUAAACCUUUGGAAUAUAAAUAUCUUACCAAGGACUUUAAAAUGUUAGCCACUUCUUGUUCAUCCAGUCUGAUUAGCAUGAUGUCCUUGACAUGAUAUAACAGUGUGAUACUCUUCAAGAUAUCCAACUAGGUUAUAUAUCUCCAAAUUCUAUCAUGACAGAAGAGUAAGAAAACUGAUAUAGUCCCAAGGCAAGGUGGGAAAUGCAUACUAUUGUAAGCAUUUGUAAAUAAAUGUGAAUUAUUUCUGACUUUUUUUUUUUUGAAAGGAGGGGAAGGGAUGAAUUUGCAAGAUCCCAGUGUUAUAGACUGACUUGUCUUCCCCCAAAAUUUGUAUGAGGAAGCUUUCCACCAAUUCCUUAGAAUAUGACUAUAUUUCAAUAUAGGGCCUUUUAAAAGGUAAUUAAGAUUAAAUUAGGUCAUUAUGGUGGGCCCUAAUUCAAUGUGAUUGGAGUCCUUAUAAGAAAAGAGAGGGACACCAGGAAUGUGCACAGUCAGAGAAAAGACCAUGUGAGGACAGAGGGAAAAAGGUAAUCAUCUACUGCCCUAGAGAGAGAGACCUAGAGGAAACCAAACCUGUCAAUAUCAAACACAUUGAUUUUGGAUUUCCAUACUCCAGAACUGUGAGAUAUAAACUUCUGUUGUGUAGGAGACUCAGUCUGUGGUGUUUUGUUAAGGUGACUCCAACCAACUAACACAAGCAGCUACAUACCAUGUAGCUGAGUCUUUGUUAAUUUACUCUAGUAAGGGUACCACGUUUAGCACAGUAGCUAUAACUGGACUACCACUUAGUUAGGUUAGCAAUAGUGUACUAUCAUUCUAUAGACACCAUGUUUAUUUUUGUUUCAAGGGAGGUAGUGGGAGCUAAGUGGAAUAAGUUGAAGACUGUCACUGCUGCUUGCUUUUGCCCUUUAGAGUGGUAAUAAUUAUUGCCUUACCCUAGAAUGUGAUAUUAAUUUUAAUUUACUAUCUUGCUGAGGUUAGGAGAAUUUUCAGAGACUUCCAUUUUUCCUUCCACAUCAUAAUGACUCAUUCUAGAGCUUGAGAAUACAACAUAAGUGUUGAGCCAAAACCAAGAAUGUUUAUUCCAAUUAUGCAUUCAAAAACUGAUAAAGUGAUUGCCCCAUAGGUCUCCAGAUUCAGAUCACUCAUGUUGAAGCAAACCUAGACUGGGAUUUCUUUUAUCAUAUGAUCCCCAGUAAUAAUUUCCAAUCCAGGGAGUUGACUUUUAUUGGCCUCCUGGUCAAUCCAUCCUGGAUUUGUUUGUUCUUUUUGUUUUGUUUUUGUUUUUUUUGAUUAUACAACUGAAUACCCUUGAUGACUAUCUACUUUGUCCUAAGGAUGCCAUAUUUUAUUUCCACAGAUCCCUAUGUGUUAAGAUCCUUGGUUGCCUCUCUAACCUUUCCAUUUGUCACAGUAGUUUUGUCCACUUAGCUUCUGAUGAUUCAGUGCCUCCAUCACCUAGCCUCUAUUAUUUCAAUUCGCUAUUGCUUUUAUCAGUGAGCCUACUUCUAUAACCUUUCUUAUUUCCUUAAUAACCAGGGACAUUUUAGUGAUUUUUUUAUCAUCAGUACAUUUUAUUAUUGCCUCCAGAAAUGAAGUAUCCCUUGUGCCCUCCCAUGUAACAUAGCCAAAUCAUAGGUUUACUAAUUUUACUUAUUUGACUCUAGCAUACCCAAUAAAUCUCUGAGCUAUUCAUUUUUUUCUUCCACCAUCAGACAUAGUGAUUUAGCUGUGGGGUAUGGCUUUUUCCAUACUUCUAGAAACUACCCUAUUACCCUUUGCAGAAAGGAUGAAAAUUUUAUCUUCUUGAGUCCUUAACAUGAUGUUAAUCCCAUGUUCCAGGACGGUGCUCCACAACCAAAAAAUUCUCCCUUAUCUAACUCUGUGUUCUCCUAACUCACAUCCCCAGUCCAGUUUCCUCAGAAGGUACCCUUAUGUGUAAUUUUGUGGGUACUUGCUGGAAGUGUAAGUAUUCUAUUCAUGAAAUAUAAGUGCAUCUUUGGACUCAGGUUCAAUCCUGUCUAUUUUGUAUCCCAUUUAUGAAAGCAUGUUGCUGAACACUAUGCCUUAUGACUUCGUAGUUCAGAUGAUAUUCUGUUCAUGAUGGGCGCAGCUUCACUCAAAGAUGAUAUAUAGUGAAUGCCCAUGUAUGUACAUGCUGCCAUUCAAGGAAGCAAAGCUCAUUGAGUUUUGUAUUUUUAUUUUAGUGCAAAACAAUGCACUUAUACCAUGUUUUAUUGGUUUGGUUUGGUUUGGUUUUGUGUUUUGUUUUUUCAUUCUGGUAAAGAAUUCCCAAUGUACCCCAGACCAUGGUUGGCAUGGAAAUCCCAAAAUAUGCCUGAGGUCAAGACAUUUGUACUAGGGAAAUGGGGUGUCUUAUCCUCUAGUAUAAAUGCUUUACCACAGCAUUUAGAUCUUGAUAUUUUCCACUUAUCAGAUUCUGAAUGUCAGAAAAAAUAUAAUUAAGAUAGUAAACUAAUAUAAUGUCCUAUUACAGUGAUCCAAAUUAUUGUAUUUUCAGAACACAUUAACACAAAUAUUCCAAAGUUAUUGUAUAAUCCAUUGCCUUCUUGAAAUUUUUGGCAUGCAUGUGACCCCUUGGACAUGCUGGGAUUACACUGAGGUUAUAAGUGCAAUGCAGGUAUACUUAUAGAAACAACUGAGGAGGAUUAAGUUCUUGUAAGAUAAUUGCCUCAAAUGACUAAAUUACUGAAUCUUUUUUGCAAGCAGGAAUCUGUUUCUUCAUGAGGAGAAACAGGACCUGUUUCUUUUAUUAGGAUCAUUCCAUGGGGUUUGGGCAUUUAGAAAAACUCCGAGCCAUCUGAAUCUUCCCACAUGUCUUCACUCUAAUUCUCAGAGCUCCAUUGUCUUUCAGUAAAUGUUUCCUUUCAUAUAAGAGAUCUAUAGAGUAUGAAUUCAACUUACUAUAAAUACAGCAACUCAAAGGAUGAAAAUUUUAUUUGAUUUUUUAGUUUCCUUAAUGUUUGAAGUUGCAUAUGACAAAGUAUUAUUUUACAAUUGAUAGAAAUGUCUUGUUUCUGUAACAGUGAUUUCAACCAAGAUUUCAGGAUUUUUAGAUAAUCAUUCACAUUUGAAAUAAGCAGUCAAUCCCACAGUCCUUGAAUGUUCAAGAUUAAUACACUGUUCCAUAUUUUUAGCAAUUGACUUGCAAGGCCUUCCCAUCAAUCAUACUUCAUUCUAAAUAAUAUCUGAGUUAGUUGUUUUGUUACCAUGUACUAUUAAGGGCCACAGCCUUUCUUUCAAUAUUAGAUAUAUUCUCUCAGCCUUUCUUUUUAGUGCAGAAAUCUCAUCAUGCCCCCAGAAUAAACCUACUUUUUCUGUUUGUUUGUUUGUUUGUUUUUUGUUAUAUCCUUUUCUUUCUACUACUUACACAUUGCUAUAUUAUUUAUGAAUCUUAGCAGCAAAGAUACAAAUCCAUUCUGGUUCGUUUGUCCAGAAAAGGACAAAAUCACAUAUGAACUAGAGAAGGCUCAAGUCUUAUGCAGCCAAGAAAAAAUGUGGUUUAACUAUAUCACACACCUUCAAAGAGGAAACUACCACUCUAGCUACUGCCUUCACUCGGAACCCUAAAAUCACUGAAACUCACACAAAGUCAGAACUUCUACUACAAUCUACAGUAGCAAAAACAGAAGAUUUUCACAAAGCCUGUUUUCCUCUAAUUUAUCAAUCAAGACUUCAAUUGGUUGGUUGUGUGACUGGCAGAGGCUAGGUUACAUGUUUGUGUCCUUACUGGCUGGAAAGACAUAAUUGAUGACAUAUUCUCCAAAUUGUUAUAUUCUCCAAAUAUAAAGAAGUUUUUCAAAAGAAAAUGGGAAGAUAUAAUAGGACAGAUGCACACGCACAUGGUAGCACAUUCAUUUUCAUUUUGAUGAAAUACGUAUUCAGGUUAUUUGUCCAUUCUUUAUUUAGGUGUUUUUAAUAUUGACUUUUCCCAGUUUGUCUUUUCUUGCAAUACUGUUUGCACCAGGAAUUAUUUGUUAUAUAUUUAAAUGAACCAGAAUUUUAUGUAAAAAAGAGUUCUGUUUAUGUCAAACAGAAAAUAAAAUUUUCAUUAUUAAAAAACAAA